AAAGCGGGGGCUCUUCGGACCUCGCGCUAUGAGAUGAGCCUGCGUUAGAUUAGCUAGUUGGUAGGGUAAAGGCCUACCAAGAUCUAUAGCUGGUCUGAGAGGACGAUCAGCCACACUGGGACUGAGACACGGCCCCUACGGGAGGCAGCAGUGGGGAAUAUUGGACAAUGGGCGCAAGCCUGAUCCAGCAAUACCGCG
rnacentral:rRNA from 1 species